UGAUCCUGCCAGAGGUCAUUGCUAUCGGGGUCCGAUUUAGCCAUGCUAGUCGAACGGGUUAAGACCCGUGGCGAAUAGCUCAGUAACACGUAGAUAAACUACCCUAUGGACUGUGAUAACCUCGGAAAACUGAGGGUAAUAACAGAUAGUACUCCUACGCUGGAAUGCAGUGAGUACGAAAUGCUCCGGUGCCAUAGGAUGUGACUGCGGCCGAUUAGUUAGACGGUGGGGUAACGGCCCACCGUGCCGAUAAUCGGUACGGGUGGUGAGAGCCAGAGCCCGGAGAUGGAAUCUGAGACAAGGUUCCAGGCCCUAUGGGGCGCAGCAGGCGCGAAAACUUUACAAUGCGCGAAAGCGCGAUAAGGGGACCCCGAGUGCGAGGGCAUAACGUCCUCGCUUUUGUAUAUCGUAAGAAGAUACACGAAUAAGGGCUGGGCAAGACCGGUGCCAGCCGCCGCGGUAAUACCGGCAGCUCGAGUGAUGAUCACUAUUAUUGGGCCUAAAGCGUCCGUAGCCGGUCGAACAAGUCCUUCGGUAAAUCCACUCGCUCAACGAGUGGGCUCUCGAGGGAAACUGUUCGACUUGGGGCCGGGAGAUCUGAGGGGUACGUCUAGGGUAGGAGUGAAAUCCUGUAAUCCUAGACGGACCGCCGGUGGCGAAAGCGCCUCAGAAGAACGGACCCGACGGUCAGGGACGAAAGCUAGGGUCUCGAACCGGAUUAGAUACCCGGGUAGUCCUAGCCGUAAACGAUGCUCGCUAGGUGUUGCGAAAGCUACGUGCUUUUGCUGUGCCGUAGGGAAGCCGUGAAGCGAGCCGCCUGGGAAGUACGUCCGCAAGGAUGAAACUUAAAGGAAUUGGCGGGGGAGCACUACAACCGGAGGAGCCUGCGGUUUAAUUGGACUCAACGCCGGAAAUCUCACCAGUACCGACAAUUGCAGUGACAGUCAAGUUAAUGACUUUACUCGAGCUCUUGAGAGGAGGUGCAUGGCCGCCGUCAGCUCGUACCGUGAGGCGUCCUGUUAAGUCAGGCAACGAGCGAGACCCACAUCUCUAAUUGCCAGCAGCAUCCAUGUGAUGGCUGGGUACAUUAAGAAGAANAAUGGCCGUCGUUAAGGCGGAGGAAGGAAUGGGCAACGGUAGGUCAGUAUGCCCCGAAUGUACUGGGCUACACGCGGGCUACAAUGGCCGGGACAAUGGGAUGCAACCCCGAGAGGGGAAGCCAAUCUCUUAAACCCGGUCUUAGUUCGGAUUGAGGGCUGAAACUCGCCCUCAUGAAGCUGGAUUCGGUAGUAAUCGCGUCUCAAUAGGGCGCGGUGAAUACGUCCCUGCUCCUUGCACACACCGCCCGUCAAAGCACCCGAGUGAGGCUUGGAUGAGGCCGCCCUUAGGCGGUCGAAUCUGGACUUCG
rnacentral:rRNA from 1 species